UGGCGCGUGUGUACGUCUCCUGUCAGACCUGUCCGUCCGUAACGCCACAGGACGAGUUGUCUUCGCAGAAAAGUCGCCUAUGGUGGUAGUGGUGGUUCGCGAGUUUCUUAAGGGAUUGCGUUUUUGUUUUUCAUUAUCUCACGGUUUUUUUGCGCACAAUCGAUAAUCGAAGUGUGCGCGUCUCACGCGCCACGGGUAUAUACACGUGUACGCGUGUGCACCGUAAACGUGUACA